ACCAAACAGACACUGGUCACUCAGGGUGGUCCCGUAACCGUCAGGAAGGCUCAUAAGGAUGCCGAUGACGGUGUGAACUUGCUGGGGAAGGUUGAACACAAGUUUGAACAUCCCUUUUCUUUCUGAGGGGCUUUAAUUCAGGUGACCUCAAUAACAAGUGAAAAUGGUCUGCAUUCUGGAACACUCACAUGCGGAAGAAGAAUCCAGAUGAACAGAAAGGACGAUGGCCCAGCAGCAGCUCAGUCUAUGCUUGUUGAUCAAUCACCUCCAUACACUCUAGUUCUGUAUCCACAUCAAGGAGGGCUCCCUGAGUGAUUCCUGAGCAACACCACCAAUGACUGACAGUUACUCUGUGUCCCCCACACUCCCCAUGAGGGCCUGUUGGAGGAGCUUUCUCAUGAGAGGAUGGAGGAAGAGACCCCAUCUAACACCAAGGGAUCCCACAGUUUGAUCUUACACUGAGCCUGCAGAAUUUAUAUUCAGCUGUGCAGAUGUUUAAAAACUCCCCAGCCCUCCCACGUGACAGCACUAACAAGGGUACCAGGAAGAAAGGCCAAGAGAGGAGCCUUGUGCCAACCUCACAGAGGCUUCAGGUUGACCUCAGCAGCUGUGAAGGGCCAAGCUCUGCUGUGAGCUGACUUUCUGAGGGUUCCUGGGAGGCUACUCCUGCCGAGCACUACAUGGGCCCGUGAACAGAGGGCGUGCCAUGGCAGGGCCCAUCCAGCAGUGGCAGGACCCCCUGCCUGCACCAACUUCCCUCACUGAAACCGUGGAACUCAAGAUGGAGGGCAGGGGAGAGGGGGCAAAUGCAGAAUGUGGCAUUUAAACCUGAAAUGCGUGUGGAAUCCAGCAUUUGUAGAUUAAUUUGACUAGGUUAUCUCUUCUUUUUCAAGCAUGGAUAAAAACUUGAAAUAAAAAUGAAACAGCGCUCAUUGAAAAUGAAGAAAGUAAUAAAUUUGCAUACUUAGUUUUGUGGCAUUCACAGUCCACACCUAAUGCACCAGUGUUUCUAGUUGUGCUCCUUGCCACCGUGGGGUCCUGUGGGAGGCAGGAUAUGCCAGGCGAGUGGGGUGCUGGAAGACAUUUUUUAAAAUAAUAUUUUAAUUAACAAAAGUUGUGUAAUUUGUAAGAGUGUAAAAUGAACAUUUAACUCUCUUCUACCCUACAGAAAUUCUGUGUGUACUGUAAACAUUUACUUGGGCGCUAUUCCAUAAAUUAUCAGCGCACAUUCAGGAAUCUAUGUAUCAUUAAGAAAUAACCCACUUGAGUAUUUGAUGAUAGAAUUGUUCACAUGGCUUUGUUCACUUAGCAAGGCAUCUUGCGCAGCUUCCCAAGUCCAUACAUUUGGGGAUUCUCACUGGGGUGUUUACUUCUGAAUUGAGACAAAACUGGAAAAAAAUCCAAAUGUCCAUCAACUGAUGAAAAAAUAAAAAGAGGUGGCCCAUCCACACAACAGAAUACUCCUCCUCAGUGGACAGGGACAAAUUAUUGAUAAAUGCUGCAACAUGGGUGAAUCUCAACAACAUAUGGCUGGUAAAGUAAACCAGACAAAAAAACUACAAAUGCAUGAUUUAAUUUAUAUUAAAAAUCCUUUAAAGGCAAAUUUACAGAAACAGAAAUGAGUUAAUGGUUGCCUGGAGCUGGAUGUGGAGCAUGAAUUGACUGCAAACAGGUACUCUCAAAACUAGUUGGGCUGAUGGAAAUGUUCUAAUGUUCAAUCAUGAUGAUAUGUAAUUUGUUAAUCUAUGAAAACACACAAAAUAAGUGAGGUUUAUAUCUUAUUAAAAUAUACCUCAGAAGAUACCUAGCAAUGUGUGAAGGGUUGGGAAUUAUGUGAAAUAAAUGUGACAUAUUCAUAUGAGUUUAAGAAGGGUGAGGGACAAUAUAGGUUCACUACUUAAUUUCUCCUAUUUAGUACAUGUGAACUUUCCUGUAAUAGUGAUAAUAAAGGCUCUGCUGAGUGUGGUGUAGGAUGAAGAAAAUCCUUGGCUUAAUUUGCUCUAAAGUAAAUGACAAUUUAGUUGGAAGGAUGAGACAUAUGUAAAAAUAACUACAGGAACAGCUAGAGAAGCUGAAUGAAUGGUCUGUGAAAACAGAAAGGAGGGGAAAUGAGAAAAGGCUUCAUGGCGGAGAUAAAGUCUGGGCUGUGUCUUGGGAGAGGAUGGCUUUGAUGUCAGCCUGGAGGGAAGGUCCAUGUGGAAGGACAGAGUGAGGAAAUUUGAGGGCACCUAUGAAGCUGUGAAGUCAGUUUUACCUGGAUGUUGUGAUGCUUAAGAGUAAUAGUAGUGAGGUAAAUGAAUUCACUCAGCAGGGAUUUCUUGAACAUCUAUGAUGCCCAGGUAAUGACUUAGGGGCUAGAGAAAUAGGGCAAAGAAACAACAAAAAUAUCUACCUCUUGUGUCCUGUAUUCUAAUUAGGGAAGACAAUGGUAAACAAAUGAAUCAUCGAAUGUCACAAAACUUUAGGAAAAAAAUAAAUAUGGAAAUAAGAUCAGGAGUGGAGGAAUGAGCUUAAGAAAUCGGUUUUAUUUCCUGUGAAGGUGACACUUGCACAAGGCUUGGAAGGAAGUGAGGGCAUGAGCCAUGUUGAGAAUGAACUUCUGGAGGGUGGAGAGGAGGAAGAGAAGAAAGGGGACAAGUCAGGUGACUACGACACUACUUCAGGCAAUGAUGAUGGAGGUUCAGAACCAGAGUGGUGGCAGUUGAAGCAGUGAGGAGUGUUCAGACACUGGACAGAUUUUAAAGUUAGAACUGACGGGGUUUGCUGACAGUGUGGAUGUGAGAAGUUACGGAAAUUGGCAUCCAGGCUGACUCUGAGGUUGUUGUCCUGAUGGAAAAGAUAGAGUCACUAUGAACAGAAAUGGAAAGAAUAUAGGUGACGUAGUAUUGGGCAUGAAGAUGAGAAAUUCUGCCUUGGUCAUUUCAAGAUAGAUGAUCUAUUAGACUACCCUGUGCAGACACUAAGUUAAGAAGAUUGCGAUCUAGGGUGGAGGUUGUGCUGGAGAUAGACACUUCGAAACUGUCAGUGCUUAGACUGCGUUUAAAGCCUUCAGACUGCCUGAUAGCACCACGGAGGUGCAAUGGAGAGGAGAGCCAAAGAUCCAGAGCAGCGCCCUGGGGCCCUCAAAUGUGAGGAGCUUAGAGAGAGAGGAGCCCCUGCAAAGGAGACAGACAGGGAGCAGCUAGUGAGGCAGGGGGACCAGGAGAGGGUGGUGCCCUGGAAGCCAGUGAAGAAGACUGACAAGAAGGAGAGAGUGAUCCACUGAUUGCACAAGAGGGGGGCUGGGACUUGACCACUGGGUUGAGGGACAGGAGGUCAUUGUGAGCUUUCCAAGGGCAGUUUCACUGUAAUUUGGAAGAUAGAGCUUAAUUGGCCCGGGUUUAGGAGACAGUGAAUGAGCUGACUUAGAGACAAUGCACAUAGAUGGCUCUUUGGGGACUUUCAUUGUAAAUGGGCAAGAAGGAAUUGAGAUGAUGGAUGGAGAGUUUUUAAAGGGGAGUCUAGAGGAGGUUUUAUAAGAGGGAGAAAUAAAAACUUGACUGUGUGCUGAUGGAGCAACUUACUAGAAGGGGAAGAGUGAACAAUGGUUCUGCAUUAGGAAGAGGAGCCCUGUGUCCAGGUGAGGCCAUUGACGGACUGGUGUUCUCGAGUAAGUGGGAUAAAAUUUCACCCAUACUGUCUUAGAGUGAAAAUAUUUUUAGAAUAAAGUUGAUCAAAAGAACAAAAUUGUAUUCUAAAUAUUAGGAAAGUUGAAAACAAAGGAUAACAUUUAUUGGAAAUGCCUCAUUUAAUGGGAUGGAUGGUGAUGGCAUUAAUUGUGAACAGAUUAAAAGAAUUAUCAAAGUUUGACUCUAUGGGGUGCCCCAGGAUGUCUGUAAGACCAUCCACACCUGUGUGACCCUUUGAAAAUAGAAUAGAGUGUGGACACCACUUGGACAUAGGAAGAAAAGUUCAUGUGUUUCCAGGGAAAUCAACUACUAGCCUCAAGAGAGGGCCAUAAAAAUUGGCAUCUUACCAAAUAGGGUACAUUCUACAAAUAACUGAAUAGAAGUAUUGUGGAAAUUUAAUUAUUAACUGGUUUCAAGAAUAAUGACUUUAGUUUAUUCCAUGUCCCAAAUUUAACGUAAAAUCCUAAAACUGAUAAGCCAUAUGCUUUGUUAUUCAUUCAUACAAAUUUUAACUUACUAAGUUAACCAGCAAUGCUACAAACACAUCAGUAAAGAUGCAUUUAGAAGUCAAGCAUGGUACACAUUUAAUAGUAAACAAUGUCUCAAGCUAAUAUGUGGACAUUAGUUGAUUGUUGAAUGUGAGCUAAAAUUAUUUUCCGUAAAACAGCAUUGCCAGGUUAUUUUUUUUAAUUAGUAGACUUUAUCAUUUACAACAGAUUUAGAUUAACAUAAAAAAAGGGCAGAGAAUAGAGUAACUUCUCAUACCCA